rnacentral:RNase_P_RNA from 6 species
UCAGUCGGUCGGGCAGCCGCGCCUGUCAUGUGCCGAAAGGCGGCAGGUGAGGAAAGUCCGGGCUCCAAGGAAACACGAUGCCGGGUAACGCCCGGCGGGGGUGACCCCAGGGAAAGUGCCACAGAAAGCAAACCGCCCCGUCUUCCGUACCGUUUCGGGUAAACGGCAGGGAUGACGGGGUAAGGGUGAAAGGGUGGGGUAAGAGCCCACCGCGCCGGCAGCAAUGCAGGCGGCACGGUAAACCCCAUCGGGAGCAAAACCGAAUAGGGACGGCGCGUCGGCUCGAAAGGGCAGGCAAUCGGUUUCCGGAUCAGCCGUCCGGGUGGGUUGCACGAGGCGGGUGGCGACAUCCGUCCCAGAUGAAUGGCUGCCGCGCCGGGCGCAAGCCCGGCCGUACAGAACCCGGCUUACAGACCGGCUGACAUU